UGUAAAGUGUAUGUAAUAUUUGAUCGUCCCACGAUCCACAUUCGACAUCAUCUCUACGUGGAAGGGUGGGCGUGGCUUUGGAACAUCUGUGCGCGUCAAUCAAGCACAGCGGUCAGCGGCGGGAAGGUCACUCAGCUGGUAGACGGCGUCUUUCUGUUGCUGAUGGACGCAUUGUAUUAUUGGAUCCUCCUGAAACCACACAGUCUGUCACAAUUGAUGAUGGUGAUGAUGAUGAUGAAGAGACCACAUCUGCUGUGACUGAAUUAGAAAGUGAUGGGAGACCCACAGAGGUAUGAUGCAUGUACUGGACAUAGCUUUUUAGAUGGAGUGAUUUGUCCUGUGACAGAAUCUAGCUGGGGAUGUACAUGCAGAUGAGGGUCCAUCUACCUCUACACAUAAUCUUAGCAGUGUAAGAACUUGUCCCUGGUUGUCCUUAUUUACAUAAUGUUACUAUGUGGCAGAUUUUCUUCUUUAACCAUCUUAUUUACUUUGCCUUCCU